GGAUGUAGCUCAGUGGUAGAGGGGUCUGUUUUUCGUGCAGAAGGUCCCAUGUUCAAUCCCUGGCAUCUGCA